rnacentral:rRNA from 1 species
ACCUCGGAUCAGGUAGGAAUACCCGCUGAACUUAAGCAUAUCAAUAAGCGGAGGAAAAGAAACCAACAGGGAUUGCCCUAGUAACGGCGAGUGAAGCGGCAACAGCUCAAAUUUGAAAUCUGGCUUCGGCCCGAGUUGUAAUUUGCAGAGGAUGUUUCUGGCGCGGUGCCUUCCGAGUUCCCUGGAACGGGACGCCACAGAGGGUGAGAGCCCCGUAUGGUUGGACACCAAGCCUGUGUGAAACUCCUUCAACGAGUCGAGUAGUUUGGGAAUGCUGCUCUAAAUGGGAGGUAAAUCUCUUCUAAAGCUAAAUACCGGCCAGAGACCGAUAGCGCACAAGUAGAGUGAUCGAAAGAUGAAAAGCACCUUGAAAAGGGGGUUAAAUAGUACGUGAAAUUGUUGAAAGGGAAGCACUUAUGACCAGACUUGGGCCGGGCGGCUCAUCAGGGGUUCUCCCCUGUGCACUCCGCCCGGCACAGGCCAGCAUCGGUUUUCGCGGGGGGAUAAGACCGUCAGGAACGUGGCACCCUCCGGGGUGUGUUAUAGCCUGGCGGACGAUACCCCCGCGGGGACCGAGG